GACGAACGCUGGCGGCGUGCCUAAUACAUGCAAGUAGAACGCUGAAGAGAGGAGCUUGCUCUUCUUGGAUGAGUUGCGAACGGGUGAGUAACGCGUAGGUAACCUGCCUUGUAGCGGGGGAUAACUAUUGGAAACGAUAGCUAAUACCGCAUAACAAUGGAUGACACAUGUCCUUUAUUUGAAAGGGGCAAUUGCUCCACUACAAGAUGGACCUGCGUUGUAUUAGCUAGUAGGUGAGGUAAUGGCUCACCUAGGCGACGAUACAUAGCCGACCUGAGAGGGUGAUCGGCCACACUGGGACGGAGACACGGCCCAGACUCCUACGGGAGGCAGCAGUAGGGAAUCUUCGGCAAUGGGGGCAACCCUGACCGAGCAACGCCGCGUGAGUGAAGAAGGUUUUCGGAUCGUAAAGCUCUGUUGUAAGUCAAGAACGGGUGUGAGAGUGGAAAGUUCACACUGUGACGGUAGCUUACCAGAAAGGGACGGCUAACUACGUG
rnacentral:rRNA from 1 species